GACGAACGCUGGCGAUGUGCUUAACACAUGCAAGUCGAACGGUAAGGCCCUUUCGGGGGUACACGAGUGGCGAACGGGUGAGUAACACGUGAGUAACCUGCCCUCAUCUCUGGGAUAACAGUCGGAAACGGUUGCUAAUACUGGAUAUGAGCUUGCAAGGCAUCUUGUGGGUUGGAAAGAUUUUUUUUGGUUGGGGAUGGACUCGCGGCCUAUCAGCUUGUUGGUGAGGUAGUGGCUCACCAAGGCUUCGACGGGUAGCCGGCCUGAGAGGGCGACCGGCCACAUUGGGACUGAGAUACGGCCCAAACUCCUACGGGAGGCAGCAGUGGGGAAUAUUGCACAAUGGACGGAAGUCUGAUGCAGCAACGCCGCGUGCGGGAUGACGGCCUUCGGGUUGUAAACCGCUUUCAAUUGUGACGAAGCUUUUUUGUGACGGUAGCAGUAGAAGAAGCACCGGCUAACUACGUG
rnacentral:rRNA from 1 species